rnacentral:rRNA from 1 species
GGUAGCUGGUUCCUUCCGAGUAGUACGUGAAACCGUUCAGGUAGCUGGUUCCUUCCGAAUAGUACGUGAAACCGUUCAGGUAGCUGGUUCCUUCCGAGUAGUACGUGAGCUCGUUGUGUGCGUGUUUCGGCGCGUCACACGGCGAAGGCGCGGAUUUCUGGCUGGCCGUCGGACAGUAUGCUUAACGGUGUCCGGUGUCGUCGUCUGCGCGGCAUCGGUACCGGUCAGCGACGAAUUCUUCGGGCCUCUUUCCGACCCGUCUUGAAACACGGACCAAGGAGUCUAACAUGCGCGCGAGUCGCGGGGUAUCGAGCGUACUUCGGUGCGUUCGUUAUGUUGCGAAACCCGUACAUGUCAAAGGCGUAAUGAAAGUGAAUGGGGAAGAUGGUGUUCCGAGUACACGUUCCGCGAUCGUCGGUAUCGCGGCCGGGCACCCGCAUUCCCAGGGCGUCUCAACGGCCCGUCGCUGAUGCGGACAGUCGUCUUUCGGGGCGGCUGUCGGUCGGCGACGAACCGAGGCGCACCUAUAGCGUGCACGUUGGUACCCGAAAGAUGGUGAACUAUGCCUGGCCAGGAUGAAGUCAGGGGAAACCCUGAUGGAGGUCCGCAGCGAUUCUGACGUGCAAAUCGAUCGUCUGAGCUGGGUAUAGGGGCGAAAGACUAAUCGAACCAUCUAGUAGC